AGAGAUCGCAAUCCUGUCAUAUCUCAACUUAAGCGCACGGCUCUUAAUGAGCCAUUCCCCUGGGCCCAAAACAAUCGGAAUAGUUUUGGGCCUCUUUUU
rnacentral:sRNA from 1 species